rnacentral:rRNA from 1 species
UGCCAGCAGCCGCGGUAAUACGGAGGGUGCAAGCGUUAAUCGGAAUUACUGGGCGUAAAGCGCGCGUAGGCGGUUGUCUAAGCUAGAUGUGAAAGCCCGGGGCUCAACCCCGGAAGUGCAUUGGAAACUGGCGAACUUGAGUACGGGAGAGGAAAGUGGAAUUCCGAGUGUAGGGGUGAAAUCCGUAGAUAUUCGGAGGAACACCAGUGGCGAAGGCGGCUUUCUGGACCGAUACUGACGCUGAGACGCGAAAGCGUGGGGAGCAAACAGGAUUAGAUA